rnacentral:rRNA from 1 species
UACGUAGGGUGCGAGCGUUAAUCGGAAUUACUGGGCGUAAAGCGUGCGCAGGCGGCGGCUCAAGUCAGGUGUGAAAUCCCCGGGCUUAACCUGGGAACUGCAUCCGAUACUGGAUGGCUUGAAUCCGGGAGAGGGAUGCGGAAUUCCAGGUGUAGCGGUGAAAUGCGUAGAUAUCUGGAGGAACACCGGUGGCGAAGGCGGCAUCCUGGACCGGCAUUGACGCUGAGGCGCGAAAGCCAGGGGAGCCAAAGCGGG